rnacentral:misc_RNA from 1 species
GCUUGCCAUGAAUUAUCUUCCUCCUGUCCUGGUGAGUUUACCCAGUUCUCUGUAUAAAUAGUGGAUAUAUAGCAUCGUCCAUCUCCUUUAACUUUCAUUGCAACUGAAUCAUACAAAUCCAAAUCGAUGAAGCCAUCAAACUUUUUAGAGCGCAUUCCACAAAACCCACUCCUGGUUAUGUUCCAUUUUGAAUUUCCACUGACAUCCAAGGAGAGGUUCCCAGAGAAUACUCCGCGAAGCUCAUUUCCAGUUUCAUUGAUUUCCAAAGAUGCUGAAGACAAUCCUCCAUAUUCAGAAUCUGAAUAUAAGUGCCAUUUCUUAACUUCUUGCUUGGAAUUGAAGUUGA